rnacentral:rRNA from 1 species
GGCUUAGAGUUUGAUCAUGGCUCAGGAUAAACGCUGGCGGCGCACAUAAGACAUGCAAGUCGAACGGAAGUCGUUGUAAUGAUUUUGACAUGGACGGAGAACUUGUUCAAAGGAAAUGAAGAUUGACUUACAACAAUGGCUUUAGUGGCGGACUGGUGAGUAACACGUAAGCAACCUGCCUAUCAGAGGGGAACAACAGUUAGAAAUGACUGCUAAUACCGCAUAUGCCUAAGUAUCGCAUGAUACAAUAGGGAAAGGAGCAAUCCGCUGAUAGAUGGGCUUGCGUCUGAUUAGAUAGUUGGUGGGGUAACGGCCUACCAAGUCAACGAUCAGUAGCCGGACUGAGAGGUUGAACGGCCACAUUGGGACUGAGAUACGGCCCAGACUCCUACGGGAGGCAGCAGUCGGGAAUAUUGCGCAAUGGAGGAAACUCUGACGCAGUGACGCCGCGUGCAGGAAGAAGGUUUUCGGAUUGUAAACUGCUUUAGACAGGGAAGAAAAAAGACAGUACCUGUAGAAUAAGCUCCGGCUAACUACGUGCCAGCAGCCGCGGUAAUACGUAGGGAGCAAGCGUUAUCCGGAUUUAUUGGGUGUAAAGGGUGCGUAGACGGGAAGACAAGUUAGUUGUGAAAUCCCUCGGCUUAACUGAGGAACUGCAACUAAAACUAUUUUUCUUGAGUGCUGGAGAGGAAAGUG